CACUGGCUUACAGUUCUGGGGUCCCUGAGGAGAAUGCCACAAACGUUCAGUUGUAGUAAGUAAAACAGGUUUACCAAAUGUAUUUACAUUCUGUAAAUGUUUCUCUGGCUAUAACAGUCACUUUUGAGACUUUUCUGGUAAUUUUUUAUUAUUUAUUUUGUGUAUAGUACUUCUCACAAUGUGCUAGCUAGUGUGCAAACACAAUGAAGAUCUGAUCUCUGUUUAAAAAUGCCUGCAAUCUCUGGAAAAAAAAUGAGUGGCAGAAAGAUGAGCUGACAAGUAUAUAAAGAAGAUGCAGUUGCUCCUGCCAGUUGUUUAAUUUCCCACAGCAUAACACUCCAUAGACUAGAAUUGAGUUUUAAAGGUAUCAAGACAGAAUCUACCAUGAGAGAUCACAAUGGAAAGCUUGGCCUUCAGCACAGCCAUCACACUGGCGAAGAGGCUUUUGCAGAUUAGAAGACAAGAUAAUGAACUCCUCUGGGACAGCUGACAUGGAGCUAAGGAUUUCAUUGUCUGAAAAACCGGACAUGGACAUGGAGAGCAGGAGAGCAUCUCAGGAGCAUGAGCAUGCCAUGAGAAUGAGAUGCUGCGGAUUAUGAAGGACCAGUCAGACAUGUUGAGGCUUCUGGUUGAGCUUCAAGAAAAACAGUUUGAGGUUAGACUCCCUCUGCAGCCCCUGCAGAACGGCCUGCAAGCAUCGCCCUGUUUCCAAUCCCCCCCCCCCCCCGAAACAUUCCAGAAGGUGAGUGGGGAAGGUGCAGUAUCCCUCCCAUGCAACACCUGGGGAGGGUAUAAGAACAAAAGGCGGCCACUC